CUUUUGGUUUGAGGUGCUUGCUGUGUACUAGCUGCUGGUGCCUGCAGGCAGUCCUCGGUUGCCCAGGAAACACAGAUGGUGGAUGAAGGGCGCGCAUACAAAAGACCAUAAACCUGUGGCAGCAGCUGGAGACCGAGACCACUGAUUAAUUCAGGUCUGUGCAGCCCCGCUUUAGUCAAAGACGUCUCUGUUCUCUCUAAUACCUCCCAUCCAUUUUCUUUGUCCCGGGGCUUCCGUCUUCCACUUUAUCCUGUUUUCCCUGGACUGGUCUGCCGUCAGUGCGCAGCUGUUGUUGGCACUCCCACAUCUGCUUGUCUCGGAUCGGCAGCCAUGUAGACGACGCUCUGCCGCGGCUCGUGUUAGUGCGUAGCGUGUAGGUCCAGGGGGCGAGCAGCCUUUUACUGCGGGCUAAUCACUGCACACACACGGCGUGAAUUUGCAGGGUCGGCAGCUUGCCCUGAGCAUGGAAGAAGAAGGAGAGGAAGAAGAAAAAGAAGAAAGAGAAGAAGUGAUGUUUUCGCACCGUCUGAUACUGCGGGACAGGUGCAUGUGAACCUGGAGAUCACUGGUUACCUUAUGUUCGGGGGAUUCAUCUACAGAGCUGCAGGCACGUCACCAGUCAGGAAACUGGGAGGAUCCAAAUGGGAACCAACAGCAGUACAGGUUAUGUGUACAGGCUGGAUUAUAUUUAUCACAAAUCAUGACAGAGGAUAGUUUUUUAAUAGUACACGACAUCAAAUAGAUAAUUUAGCAGUAUUACUCAGUCAGUUAGAUAACAUGUCUUUUAGCAGUGGGUGUAUUUCAAUGUAAUUUGUGUGAGACUAAAUAAAAACAGCAAGGGGAAACAAUGAAACGAAAGCACAAGUAAUCCCUGGUGUAUCUUUGGAGGACAGUUGGGUUGCGUCCCACUUUUCUGCUGCUUUGUCUUGUGUGUUCCUUUCCAGUUACACUGAUGAACAAAGCAGAACCGGGGCUCGUGCUGGACCUCACGAGCUGCACGGCUCCACCGCCCUCCGCUGUGCUGCCUCACAGACUGGUACAGGAGCUGUCGAGCUGUCGUGUCCUUUCACCUGCAGUGAUCGAUGCAUGCUGCCACCACUGCCGUCCUGUACCUUCAGAAGGAGAGGAUCCAUGUCCAAGUGUUCCCCCACCAGGAGACGACUUCUGCUGCCUCUGUGUAUCAGUGAAAAGGGCUUUGAAGAGUUCAAAAUGCCACCACCGCUUUGUAGUCAGUGUCAGCAUGAUCAGAUUUAACAGGAAGGUAUUUCACGGGUGGUGUUCUGAGUCCAAAAUAAUCUGCUGCAGUGUUCUCUCCUGUUUCUCUCAAAUGUGCGUAAUUUCUGAGCUGUAACACUGAUAUAGCCUCAUCCACUCCCACUCUCAUGGGUUUUGUUUUUUUUUUUUUU